ACAUGACAGUAACUUUAAUCAUUAUAUCCGUACAUAUUUCUUUAAUGAUCGCGUUAAAGUCACAGCAUUAUGCGAAAAAUAUAAAUCUAUCAAAUCUAAGAGGAAUUCUUUCCUUUGGUUUUCUUACUUCGUUGAAAUCCUUCAUAGCAACGAUUUUCUAAUAUUUUUAAGCAAGAUAUAUUUAUAAUACAGAUUCGAUACAACGAGUCAAGGGAAAUAACCAAUGACACGUUUUCCACGAAAACUCGCUAGACAGGGCAAGACGCGUGGUCACCUGACCUACGAUGAGGUUUAACGUCCCUAUUAGCGGAUGUCAUUUGAAUGGGAAUGUAAUAAAAGUCGCGUGCAGCAUAAUUUAAUUCAAGGUCGUACACACUCGCUUUCGAGCAGAUGCAAAAGAACGCAAUUACCGGGGACCGGCCGGCGUGUAGAGCGUGCUUCUGUGCGCUUGUAUUAUAAUUAUACAUGCGCGUCGUCGCGCUUUUUAUCAGAGAAUAAUAUUUCGUGGCCGGAGCCGUGGCUCGUGACGGGCCUCGAUUCCGAAAGAAUUCACCGGCUGCCGGCCGGUCCACGGUAAAUUAUGUGGUAUGCAUAAUUGCACUCAAUGAAAUUUGCGUCUCUGCCGCUUUGGGAACCUCCUGGUCCCCGUGUCUCGUUCUCCUCUUGUGCCCGUUCCCCUGCCCGCGUCCCCUUAUCAAACUCUCAUCACCGUAUUAUAUUAGUCGGCGUGUCCUCGUCACGCGUUACGCGCAACUGAAUCAUGCAGCCGCGAUGAAAUCGUGCCAAAUUGAGAAAGCCGCGACGAUAAAUUACGGGAUAAGCUGAUGGAAAUUACGCAUUCAGAGAUUUUUCGAACGAGAACCUGGUAAAACGAGCACACACGCACGAGGGUCAUUCAUGUAUACAACGAACACACGUGAAUAUCUAAAAGAAGAAACAAAGUUCGUGGAGAUAGCAAAGGGCGGUUUGGGAGGCAGCGACCUCUGGUCGAGGGUAGUCGUUGCACAUGGCAGACAGAAUAAAUAAAAAAAGAGAAAAACCGCUCAUUUCAGCCAACGCGCUGUAAACAUCUGCUAGGCGGGGGCACUUUGGCCCGCGAGUGGUUCUCAACCAACGCAGAUUUGGUCCUUCGAAAUGCAUCGUCGACAGUUUCUAUCACAUUCUCAUCCCCUCCAACCGAAUUCUCUCCCUUUUCAGCUCGUUUCUUUUUCUUACCCACGAUAUUUAUCGUUUACCUCCUGCAUUUUAUACUCCUCGUCCCCUCGGCCUCUCAUUCCCUAAGGCUUAAGUGUCGAUCGAGUUUCGAGUAUGAGAACGGAAAGAGACCCGGUGUGGGUCGGCAGCUGCUUCGAAGACCAACAACCAACAAAGGCAACAACCACCGUACCCUAUCACGGGUCGUUACUAUAUUACUACUACUUCUAUCGUCAGUAUGCGUGUUACCGAUUUUCUCCAGUUCUCCUUCCUUCUUGAGAGACAUCUCAAAAAGAACGCAGAAAAGUUCAAGUUACUUCACUCGAGCAGCGUUUUCAAGAAGUUGUAUAUACAAGAUCGAAUAACCACUGUUCGAGAAUCCGAGAUCUCGUUCAUCCUUCUUCGAUGUCGGUGACGAAGCUCAAGGUUUCGACGGACGGAGAAAGCGCGGGAAGUUUCGACAUCGUCGGCCGCAAAUUGAACCGAGGAGGAACGGGCGAACGAUUCCACGGCCUCGAGAGAACCGACGGAACGAGAUGAAUGUCGAGGCACAAUCGCCGUGCGUGACGAAGUGUGUCGUUAGCGACGAAAGAAAGAAAUUCGACGACGAUGACGACGGUGCAUUUAAAGGAGAGCUCUCUUUCUCUCUCACAGCUUUGAAAUUCUUGUCGCCGGCGGAAACUCUUAAUUUUGUGGCUGAUGUUGCGGCCGAAGGAAAAGGGACGAACUUUCGAAAACGAUCAUGGCCAAGGCCCCGUGCAUGGGUCUGAAAUCGUGCGUCCAUUUGUGCUCGAAACAAUUUUUAACAUAAUUGCGCCUUUCCUCUUCCUGGGCACAUGUAUAUCUCUCUGUCAUCGCGUUACACCGGAAUUAUUAUGAAUAACAAGGAACCGCAAUAAUGACCGUUACGACGUUUUCAAAGGAGACAGUUGGUUUUUUGGUUGUGGUCAAACGCGACUUGAUCUACUUGAGAAAUGACUAUAACAAAUGGAAUUAAAUGCAUAAUACAAAUAGAAACAAUACGGAGAUAGAUAUUUUUCAGGGACGUUAGUUGAUACGACGAGAUUUCUUUUAGAAGAGUAUCCGACUUAUAGAGAACAACACGCGUGAGUUUACCAUUAUAAAUUUGUGAAGAGCAAAUAAAAGUCCUAUACACUAACGUUUUCGGGAUCUGCUCCUCCCCCUACCUCGAAACUUAUGUAGCGUUUGACCAUACCAAGCGAACAAGUCGUAAAAUACUGAGAAAAGAUUCUCCCGUCUCAUGGGCAGCUUUUUACGAAGGCGCGUGAACAGCGGUAGGGCCAGUAUGGGUCUAUUAACACGGUUUCAUCGUCGACACAAAUCUUCCAUUUCGGUGGAAAAAGUAAGCUGGCGGUAGCAUCGAGCACGUGCUGCCGUCACGAUAAAAAAAUGUCUUCUCUUCCUGCCAUUCGAAUUUCUACUGAUGUUUCUUUCACGUAUCAUUGGGAAACGAUACAUUAAACGUUGUACAGAAGUCAGGAACACGUCGCCGUUCUGUACUCAUGGCAUACACACACAAUCGAACGACAUUUCCUUCGUGUUACGGUUAUGUGCGCGACGAAUAACAACUACACACGUUCGAGCUUCUAUCUCGUGUACCGGCUACAAAUAAACCAGCCUCGAUAACCACGUUCGCCUAUUUCGUUAAACAAACAAAACUGUCCUCUAGCAGCUGGCACGCGUCGCCUCUUUGCUUUUCCAGCAAAGACGGAGAAAGUUUCGCGCUUCGAGCGGUCCUAUUUGCAGGCUGGAUCUCGUGUAUAUAACCGGUGCUGUUGUGCCGUGCGUACGGCGACGUUUGCGCACGUGUGUGCGUCACGUUUAACAGAAUCGAGGGACGGUUAAUAGCGAAACGCUUCUUCCUUCCCAUCGCGACGAGGCAGCAGCAACAGCAGCAGCGGCAACACGCAGCAUCACGCGCGCUACAGUUCGCGUCGCGCCGGUUACGCGACGCUGCAGCUAACGACCUGGAUAACCAGCCGUGAUGUUUCCAAAGUAACGUCAUCGUUCGCCGCGAUGCGACACGAGGCGACGAGUCUGACGACGGAGUCGCUCAUUACAACUUCCGGUCCAGGAGAGCGAGCCAGAAAGAGAGCGGCCCGAGGGAAUGAGAAAGAUGGAGAGAGACAGAGAUCUCGAGCGGCGAUGGUGGGGACAAGAGAAUCAGCAGAACAGCGCAGCGGACCAACUGGUCGACGGAAUGAGACAGAGAGCGCGAGCGUGAGUAAGAUGGACGAUGGGGAGGGAGAGAAGGAGCGAGAAUCGAGCGAAAAUGCUCAACAAAUAGCCACAUCCUCAUAAUGGAACGGCGUAUCAAACUCAUUAGACAUCAUUAUCGAAUCGACACGAUUACGUUCCGCAGAAAGAUCCGAUCUUCCCGUUAAAAACGAAUGAUCGGCUCAGAUAGACGCUUGAUCGUCAUCAUGGGCGCUGAUACGAUGCGCGUACACACGCCGUACGUUGAGAAGUCAGCGUAUUAGGCAUACACGCUAAAGACACUCUCUGCAUCCGUCGAGAAAUUUAGGCGUACGAGAGUGCGGGAACCCAGUCGCGCUAGAGCAAUGAUUCAUGCCAGGUAUGUUAAACUGGUUCCGAGCGGACUGCAGCCGCUGGAAAAAAGGCUCGUAGCCCGAUCUACGAGACACAAUGCAACGUUAGAGAGAAAACAGCUACGUGGACGUAUGUAGAUCCGCAACCCCGACCCCGCUCCCGUCAAAGGGUGGAGUGGUUGGGAAAGCAGGAAGCGAACGGAUUUUAUGUAAGAAAGGAAAAUCAUAAUGCACAACUAUACGUGUCUGUUCGAGGAAAAUGAUUGGAAACGUCAACGAGGAAUCCGAGAUUCGCGUUACGAUUUCUUCGUAUUAUACCCCUUGCUUCGUCAUAUAAUUUUCUGCAUAGUACAGUGCCCAGGAUAAAUUUCCAGAUAAACGAUUCUGCACGUUAUAUUAUUAUAGACGUAACCUUGCUUCUAAUCGAUGGUUCUAUAGGAGUGUUGGCUGAUUUAAAAAAAUACCAACGACUAAUUUCACGUAGUAAAAAUACCGGCCUCGUAAUAUAUAAUAAAUGAGAAUAUCGAUCUAAACGUGGGUACGGCGUAAUCGUUCGAUGAGUACGCGCUGCGUACGCCACGCAGAAGCAUCGAGUCAGUGCUUACUCGCGCGCGUUUCGGUCGCACGACACGCCAGCGGUUCUCAAUCUGAAGAUUACGGCGUGUAAAGAGGAUGCGAGAAAGCCCGGCCGAACGGAAGACACGAUAAGCACGUACGGAAAUCCGUAGCGGGUUCUGAAUUUAAAACACGAACAGUCUUGACACCGUUCUAAGUGUCCGAGUCUAAUGUUAUUGGACGGUCAAUAUUAGCGCGCUUCACGUGAUGAGCGACGAGCACCAUACGGCUUCCUUUUACACGCCACCGUUUUCCCUCCUAUCGAGGAAUGCUUUAGGCAUCGCUGGAACGACGGCGUUGCCAGGGUCUGCAGGUACGAAAGAAACGAAGUUAUACUCGGUAUGCAAUAUGGACCGAUGCGUGCCUUGUGGAUAAAAAUGGUCGGCGUAAAUUUCUCUCACCUUGAAACUACAUAGUUCGAUGGGAAGACGAUUCGUCGAAGGAUCGCGUGUACGCUUUUGACAUUUCGUGGAUUGCCGUGCGUUAGCCCCGAUUUCCCUAUGAACGAAUCCUGCGACACCCCAGACGAAUUUAAAGCUUUUAUGAAACGAGAGGGGUCGACCAAUGACUAAGGGUAAAAUACGAAAAAAGAGACAGACAGAAAGAGAACUGUAGAAAUAGUAGGGCGGUAGAGGACGGAGUGAGCAAAUUGAAAAGUGGAGGAACGAGGAGGGAACAGGACGACGAAAAAGGACGUAGAAAAGGGAGCACGCGGCGAAGAAGAAGAAAAGGCUCGCUUUUCAGACGGUUCAAUAGAUUUCGAUCUGAGCGACUUUUUUCUGAGCUCGAAACGAAACGACGAACAAUGGGCCAGACGGAAACCAUGGCCGAGCUUGAAGACUUCCCGUGUGUACGAUUCCACGUGCACAUGUGUAUGCACAAGGGAUAGAAUGAUCGUGUGCGUGUACAUCUGGAUCGACCGGGUCCUGAACGAGAACGGAAGUUUAAUGACUUCAAGUGUCGGUGAAAAUCAGGAUCAGCUGGGGGCUCGUGUUCCGCGCGCUUUGUCGCUUGAUGACGUAAAAAGAAAUACAGAACCCUUGUCCGAAGGUUACGAAAGUUCAUCCGGUGCUGAAUGAAACGCGAGGAUGAAGCAGAAAUAUCUAAUACAGGAAUUUUUAAUUUUUAUGCGUAUACCUGGAAACGCGAAGCUGGUAAAGCGGCCAGUUCUCUCCUAUCCGUUGCUCCCGUCUGGUGGGCCCACGAGAGAGAAAGUCAGUCGACAUCGAUUACGUAUAGCAGUUGGGAGUCGAAGGUCCCCCAGCUGUUCUUCCGUGGAGAGCGAUGGACCAACGCCUCCUUUGAAAGGCCUCUUGCAAGCUGAUGAUGUUUAUCCGCUGGAUCUCGCCGAAAUUGAUUGUUUCCUCCCGACUGUAAAAAACGAAACGUUCGAUGUAUAUAAAAAAGAAGGAAGGAAAAAAGAGAUGGGGAAACUAAGAAGAAAAGAAGGAAAUAUAUCGUUUCACGGUUGUAACAAUAAGCCUAUAAGGUACAUUUUACAUACAUAUAUUCUAGCAUUUUACCAUUGCUGAAGCGAUAAUAACAUUAUAAAAUAUUUAUCGAAGCAAUGCAAUAUUACAAUGAUAAGAUUAACAGAAUUCUUUGUUCCAAACAUGAUAAUUCCUGAAUGUUUCCAAACCGUAUUAUGAAUCCAUCGUAAUUUCGAGUUAAUCUGGCUUUUAUCAUUUAACUGGCCGUCGUUCGCUAAUAAUUUUGUUUCGUACGCAUUUAACUCGACCUCCUCCAGAAAUUUUCGAAUACUUCCAUUCAAGAACCGUUUCAGCAGAGACCGAUGUGUGCAUGGUCAACACGGCCCUCUACGGUCGAACUCAGUCGCUCAAACGAUCGAUAACAGGACAUAGUAGCGUUUCUAUUUAUAUAGAAGUGCGGUUCGACAUAACCAGAGAUACAAUCCGCGAUACGUGCCAGAUAGAAUCUUCCCAUCCAAUUUUAGUCCGUAAAGCUUCAGAGAAUUACGUUACACGCGAAAUCUCGCGAAAGAAUCACUCGAUGAACCUCGCCACCGUGCACGGAACAAUAAAGGUUUUUAAAAUUACAUUAGAAAGCUAGAAAAUCGAAUUGUGAAUUUUCAUAAUUUUUGUUUGGCAUCAUGAUGCUUGGAAUUUAGCCAUUGUGGAUUAGAUUAUGUCAAUCGUAUUAAAAAUAGUGAUUCUUGUUUUUUCUAUAUUCGUGUAGAUGAUUCACGAAUAGGUAGUCUUACUUCGAUUUCGUUAUUUCGUUCGUUUAUCCUUUUAUAGCGAUGAGCGAGGAUGUUUCCGGACUUCGACGUAAUUUAUUAACGUUACAAAUGUUCGAACCGAUUGUGUGAUACAAGUCUAUAGAACAGAAAUAUAAUGAAAAUAGAAAGAAAACUUUUCUUGUCUUUUAUAACCUCGUGCCAAAGUACUUUACCCUACGGAGAGCGCUAGUUUGCGGAAAUUCAAUUUUCUUCCUUAUAACAUUAUACAAGACAGGUUCCCGAACUUAUGUUGUUUCUUUCACUUUAUCUUCCUUACUACAAUAUCAAAAUACGUGAAGUAUAAUUGGUUUUUACAAAACUGUAUUUAUCCUUUUUUUUCUUAAAAAUAGCAUUUUAUAGAAUUUGGAAAGUUCCAUAAAAUUCAUAUAAAUAAGAUAAAUAUAAAUAAAAGAUAAAUAUGGAUUUCCAUUUUUUAUAAACAAACACGGAAACCAAGAACACAGAACAGGUUUAAGAGACUCAAAUUCCUAAUCGACGUUUGCCACGUGUCUCGUCGUGGAAACAACAAAAUCUAAUUUCGGGGAAUUCGAUUGGCUUAGAAGCGUGACACCUGAUGAUAGUUUCGUUUGAAUUCCAGCGGGAGACUCGCGAUAACGAUACACGGAUCUUCUUGCCUCAGAUUACAAGUUCUUCGACGCGUUCAACCGCAAACGCGCAUAUUCUAUCAACCGCAACGGCGUUUAAGCAGGGAUUAAGUUUUAUCCGGGACCGGCUACGUCCACGUGUAACGAAUACAGUUUAAUACGUUCGAUUGUUCUCGCCUUGUUAUCUGUUUUAUUGUAUGUACGUUUGCGGAUUAUGGCGCAUGAAAGUGAAACAUUACCAUUUUUUACGAUUAUCCGAGAAAUACACAUUUAAUUUGUGUUAAGACGUAUUGAAAUUUACGGGUGGUACGUUAAUUCUUCAAAUAGAACUUGAUAAAAUGAGGCAAACAAGUUUCUACAGAUGUAAACCUAUCGUUUCGCAAAUACGGGAUGAUUAAAAUUAACUUUCACCGAUAAACUUAAACUGUCAACCAAUUAUUACGAUACUGGUAUUUUUGCGUUGCUUUUCUCUACAAUGUUCAAUAUAUAAACAAUAUUAAUCCGUUAAUAACACGAAAUAUGUACGCCAAUGUCGUGUGUUUGAUAAAAGCUAGAAUUGCGAAGUUUUGUAAUCUCUGCAUUGCAACGUAAAUAAAUAUAAUCGUAUUCAUUUAAAAAUAUUGGGAAAUAUUUAUGCAAAGAUUCAUUUUCAAAAGUGGUUUGUACAUAUUUUCGUUCUAGUUACAACGUAUGUCUAUAAUUCUCUGACAAUUUGUAUUUAUACACAAAGGAACUUCUUUCUAGUAAGGAAUGUCUAACACAUUUUAGACACACAAGAAUGCAAUCGUUUUCUUGUAAACUCCAGAAUAAUCUAGACAGACUAAGCAUGUUCGCGAAAGUUCCUACGGCAAACUGAUAAUAUUCUCGGAUAAGCGAUUAAAAAUAUUCAUACAAAAACUACUAAUAUGCUUGUAGCGUAUUUAUAAGUGCUCGACAAUAUAUCUAUAUAGAUUUCAUUAAUUCAUACAACUCUUAAAUGAAUUCUUAAUUUCUCGUAGAAUACCAUCGGUUAAAAAUCUUAUAACAUACUUCAUAUUACAUUACUACUUGUUAUAGGACGAUAAUCGGCGUCGCAUCACUUCGACAGCAACACUGAAAAGUCGGAUGGAACAAGCGUAUCCUUGACAAUGUGUGCUGAAUAUUCGGGUCACAUCCUCGAUCAGACUUCCUUCACCGGUAUGACACGCACACACGAGUAUAUGCGUCCAAAGAGGAGACACGUAAGGCCGAUUAGGCAGGGAUAUACAAACGUGUUCGGCGAAUUAUAACGAUUUAAAGUAGGACAUGUGCAUGUAUGUCUAUCGUAGCUCUCUUUGUCCACUCUUGCUCUCUUUUUCUUUCUAACCAUUUAGAAAUGAGGGAAAACGACCCUUCGCGAACAGGGAAACAGCUGUUGAGCGAUGAUGAGAAGAGGACGGAGGUCGGGAUUCGGAGAAUGGCAGAGAAGGCAGAUAGAGUGAAAAAAGAGGUUACCACCUGGCUUACCUGAAAACCGACGUCGGUAUACCUGCCCGAGCAUUCUUUUGUGCGGGCCUCGAGGCACGCACCCAUUCCCAUACGGCCAUAUUACAUCCUACAAAACUACAUGGCACAACGUUACUGUCGUGAUGCUGAGAAAGAUGUUUUAGGAAUAUAUUAGACGGCAGAAUGUCCUUGAUAUCGUGUACGUAUAUGAAGGUGCUCGUUCUUGCAUCGUCGAUGUCACUGACUUUCGCGUUCUGUGGGACUUUCGCAUAAGAUCGAUGCAUAGUUGACCAAUUCUCCCUCUUGUUAGACUAUACACGAUUUUGGACGAGUCCUAACUUGAUUACACCAUAAUUUAGAACUGGCAGUCAGAUUUUCCUCUAAGGGAGAUAAAGCGUUACACGUUAAAAAAUUGUUUCCGUUGAUGAUGAAUUCUGAUUCUUUGUAGAAUAUUUCAUUGUGAAGAUAUAAAAUCAAAAGACGUUGGUAUAGGUAAGACGAAGUGUCGCGUGCUUGAAUAAUUCAAGUACGUCUAAUGGCUAAUAUAUUAAAACGGCAUAUGGUUCGGUUGCACGCGUGUUUCUACUUUUUCUCGUACAGAACCAUUCGCUUCAGGGAUCAUUUCGUGCGGCCUCGUUUCCGGCUCGUGUGAAGCCAGAUGCAGUUUCUUUCCCGUUAAGUUUGUCGAAUCCGAGGAAUCGCUGAAUUCUCGUGACCGACCCUUCUCAAUUUUCUGAAUACACACCGAAAAUCCGGGCAGAUGGCAAAUGACCGUGGUACUCAAACCGUUAAUAUUAUCAGCAGCUCGUAACGAAAAGCGAAAUUGGAUUUUAUGAAAGAACAGCUGACAUGCUCGGACCCCUCUUCCAUCGUCCAACACGAUUUUAUCACGGUUUCGAAACUUUUUUCCCUGCAAUUGCGAAUAACUCUUUAAAUCUACCAAUAACUGUCUGCUGCAGUUUACAGAGUAAUAACAUUGCAAAUGUAUUGUACAAAUGCGUGAAUUUCUUACGAUACAAUAUUUUAGAACGAUUAGCUUAUAACCGAGUAUUUAUCGAAUAGUACUGAGUUACUUCUUU